GGAGUUCAGUUAAACUUUUAUUGUUUGAGAUGGGAGGUUGUUGGAAACCAGUGUUGACGAGCCAGCGUCGCUAUUGAAGAAUCCAAAAUAAAUGCACUAAAUUUAGGAGAUGGGUUUCAUCCUGGUCCUCCCUGGUCCCCAAAUUUAGCGUUCGUUCAUUCCUUACAAUUUUCUCUUUUCUUUUGAAUUUCUUAUAAUUUUCUUAUUGCUUACAUUUACGGUUCAAAUAAUAUUUUGCCCAACCCUUGGGAGGAGCGGACGACCAUCACUUGUUCACUCACAACAAGUUCCAUUCCACGGUGAUCAACAAGAAGGGAAGCUAGGUAAAUGGAGAGCGUUUGAUUAGAGAAGACAUACAGCGACAGAAAUAGCAUAAUGGAAUUACAUGGAAAAGGCUAAUUAGAAGCAGCACUAAAUUUGGGAAUGGCAUCCUUAACUUCUCAUCUUUCGCCCUAAAAAUAAACCUCUGUUACCAAUGGAUGGUGGAAUAUGAAGUAGCAACAACAUAGCCAUAAGACUCAUGCCUGGUAAACUCUCCCCUCCAUCCAUCCUUUAAAUCAUCCGCUUCCCCACCUCCAUUCUUGUUUCUCGUGCCCCGCUCAUCAUUCUUCAUUUCGUUCUAUCAAUCGUCCUACGUUAAUCAAUCAUCCCUGCCUGGCGAGGCGGCUCUUGUUGCUGCCUCCGCCACCACAACCACGAUAUCAUCACGUCUGUUUAAUUUUUCAUCUUCCUUCUCGCCUCCCAAACAGUAUGGCUGAACAAGAUCAGCGACGGCCUUUUCCCCAUCCCCCUUCUUCUUCUCCGGAGGACUCCGGGGACGAGUUCGGCCUCAUGUCGCUAGAGCCGCCGCCCUGGCAUAACCGGAAGCGACUCUCCAAGCAGUUGUCCAUGUGCGAGACGCGCCGGAACAUAGCGUGGGAGAAGAGGCGCAGGCAGAUCCUGGAGCAAGAGCGAAGGAGAAAUGGGCUUCGUCACGAUGAUUGCGAUCAUCGUCUGACGGACGAGGAUCUGAAUGAGCUUAAAGGGAGUAUAGAGUUGGGGUUCGGAUUCACCGAGGAAGCCGGUCAAUCGCUGACCCACACCUUGCCCGCCCUCGACCUUUAUUUUGCCGUCAAUCGACAACUAUCUCUUUCCAGCCCCGGGUCUACUCCUCAAAGCCUCGGCGAUCGCUCUUCAUCAUUUGGGAGCUCAAAAAGCGACCCUGACUCAUGGAGGAUUUGCAGCCCAGGGGAGGACCCCGAGCAAGUGAAAACGAAGUUAAGGCAUUGGGCUCAAGCCGUUGCUUGUUCUGUGAUGCAGUCUUUUUGAAUCAAAGGUGAGCUAUGGUGUGUGCAGAGGGAGCCUCCAGGGAGACUCACGUCCCAGAAAUGCAAAAGAAAAGUUGGAUCAAUUAUCGCAUUAGAGUGCAUGUGAAGGUGGGCUUUUUCGGAGGACGCAAGAAAGUGAGACUGUUGGCUCCAAUUUUGGUUUUGGACGUAUAAGGAGAUUACGGUGUAACCAUGUGAAGGCAUGCGUGGCAGGGACUGCUCAUUUUGUAAGUCACAGGAGGAUGGUUGAACUCUCAUGUCUGAACUAUUUCCUCUCAAGAUCAUCAAGUCCACCUUCUCUAGGAUUUUUUACUGCAAGGAUGUCUUGGAUUUGAAAGAACCCUCUGAUUGUGCUGUGUGUCUGUGAAUUCUCAGAGCAUGACAAGCUAAGAUUGUUGCCAAUGUGUGGCUACGCUUUUUCACAUCAGUUGUCUAGAAACGUGACUUUUCUCAAACUCUACACGCCCUCUUUGCAGAGCGACAAUCUCAUCAACUUCUGGUUUUUCUAUGGAAAAUCCAUUAUUCAAUUAUGGGAAUUCAUGGGUUUUGAAUAGAUUCAAAGGAGAUGGAGAGAACAUCAAAUGGUGUUCAGAUGGUCAGACAAUACUAGGUAGUGAAGAUGGAAUUAUUGAAAAGAGGAUUUUUCUGUGAGACUUGGAAAGUUCGGAAACAUCAAACGGAGGAGAACAUAGGCUUGUGCAAGAAGAGGGUGGUAGUUGUAAUAUGGAUGGGAGGAGAUGAUUCUCUACUUUGAAGUUUUGACUUUGGUCCAACAAGAGAGUUCAUUUCCUUUAAGAAUGAAACUGACUUUAAGAAUUUAACUCUACUGUAUGAUGUAUACAAUUCAACUCUAGCUGAGUAUGGUACAAGCUCGAGGUGCUGCUGUGACAAGAAAUGAAGUUCUCCAGAAAACGGAUUAUGAGAUCGAGAUCCCGGUGGAUGGUGCAUAUUCGAAGAUGACAAAUGAAGUUCCACUUCAACAAAGUGGUGUUUUGUUGUUUUCUUUUUCUUUUUCCUUUUAUUUCUCUUGUAUAAAAAAAGAAUUAUGAAAUAUGCUUGUGAUGUAUGAUAUUCUAUGAUUUAUAAAUUAUAAAUAAUAAUAUAUGAUCUGUACAGUUUAUGUAUUCAAUUUUAAGAA